GACAUAGGUGGCGAACGUUAUCCGGAAUUAUUGGGCGUAAAGGAUGCGUAGAUGGUAGAAUAAGUUACUGGUCGAUGCCAAACUCAAUUUGACGGAAGCCGGUAAUACUGUUCUGCUCGAGGGCAGGGGAGGUUGAUGGAAUUCUGUGUGGAGCGGUGAAAUGCGUUGAUCUACAGAGGAACACCAAAAAAGGCGAAGGCAGUCAACUAGUCUGUUCCUGACAUUGAGGCAUGAAAGCGUGGGGAGCAAACCGG
rnacentral:rRNA from 1 species